AUAAAGCACGGUUUUACACUAUUUAUAUUCAACAUUUAACUGCUCGUCUUAAAAAAAUUGUGAUUAGUAUUUUUGUUAUUAUCAGAUGAUAAGAUAUGAACAGUAUUUUAUGUGUGACUAUUUUUUAAAAAAGAAAAUUAUAAAUUUUUAAAAUAAAACGAAUAUCAAACGUUGGACACGAAUAUUCAUGGCUGCACUUAUU
rfam:Oryza rufipogon genomic scaffold, chr11